UUCUAUAUUGAAUAGGAGUGGAAGGAGUGAACAUCCUUUUCUUCUUCCUGCUUUUUGGAAUAGCUCUGAGUUUUUCUCUAUUUAGUAUGAUGAUGCUGUGGGCUUGUUGUACAAUUACUUUAUUAUGUUGAAUUAUAUCCUCUAUAUCCCUAGAUUCUCCAGGACUUUUAUCAUUGAUGAAAGCUGGGUUUUACAAAGGCUUUUUUUCAUAUAUUCAGAGGGUCAUAUUGUUUUUGUCCUUUACUCAUUUUAGGUGGUGCAGUAAAUAUGUUGAUUUGUGUAUGUUGAAUUAUCCUUGCAUGUUUGAGGUGAAGACAACUUGAACCCCGGUGGAUGAUUUUUUUUAAUGUAAUCCUGAACUUUAUUUGCAAGUAUUUUAUUGAGAAUUUGUGUUUAUAUGUUCAUCAGUAUAAUAGGCCUAUAAUUCUGUCUAUCUAUCCAUCUAUCUACUAUCUAUCUAUCCAUCCAUCCAUCCACCCUUCAAUCCACCCAUCCAUCCACCCACCCACCCACCUAUCCAUCCAUCCAUCCAUCCAUCCAUUUAUCUCCCUGUCAUCAUCUCUCAACACCAGGUUAUCCCUGGCUCAAGAAAGAAUCUGGAAAAUCUGCUGAUUUACUACUCUUUACAUGCUGAGCCAUUUCCUAAGGCAUUUUUAUCUUAUUUUAAUUUUUCCCCCUUUUAAAUGUUUAUUUUAUUUUUUAUGUAUACGGGUAUUUUUCCUGCAGGUAUGUGUGAGAACUACAUGUGUUCCUGGUGCCUGAGGAGGCUGAAAGAGUGUGUUUGAGCCUCUGUAUGGUUGCUGGUAACUGAACCCUCAUCCUCCACAAUAGUAGCCAGUGCUCCCAACUGCUAAUACAACUCUCAAACCCACUUUUUCUUUGUUUGUUUGUUUUUGGAGAUUGUGUCUUACUAUGAGGCUCUGGCUAUCCUGGACUCAGUAGACAAACAGGCCUCAAACUCACAGACAUCUACCUGCCUCUGCCUUCUGAGUGCAGGAUCAAAGGCAUGGGCCACCAUGUCCUACUUCUGACAUGCAUGUUUAAAGUGCUUACUGUACAGUGGGUCCUCUGCUAGCAUUGAGGAUGAGCACUAGACAACAAAUCAAACCUCACACUGCUUCCACCUCCCUGGAAGACAGACAGCAAGCAAAAUGAAACACACCCAGGUUAGAUGGAGGCUCCAGUGUCAGAAGGGCUAAAGAUGGUCAGAUCAGCUGCAGCCCACAAUGAUACCAGUGCUGGGAGGCUUUGGCAUUAUUUACAGUUAUGGUCAUGGGGCUCAAGACUAUUCUACACCCUCCACAGAUCACCUCAAGCCCUCUGGUCCAGGCUGCCAUAUCAUCCAGACAGCAGACAAGUGGCAGCCCGAACCAUUGUGGGAAGUUGUGGGGUGGGGGCGCCUCCACAGACCUGUGAGCUUUUGGCCUGCAUUUGGUGUGGAGCACAACCUCAGUUUUUCAGGCUCCCAGUCCAGCCAGCACCAACUGCCUAGGGAUCUGGAAUUGCCCAUGUUGCUAGAAAGACCUACUUCAUCAAUGCCACCGCCAAGCUCAUCCUCCUUAGAGGCUAUAUUAUUUAGGCAAGUUUUGUAUUUGUUUUAAACUUUAGGUAGCAUAUAAAAUGAGCAAAUGUGGUAUUUGAUGCCAAAAUAGGAUCUGAAUUCUGAUGUUGACUGAGUUUUGAAGACUGACAGAAAUCUAGAUACAUUAUGUAAAGGCAGAGGAGACUGCUCAUCUACCAAGUAACAUUGAGUCAGUUUGUAAAACUCCCACUUGAUUUUACUGUUGUGCAUGCUUGUGUGUGAAUGAUUUCCCUGUAUAUAUGUCUGUGCAUCCUGUGCAAGUCUAGUAUUCACUGAGGACAGAAGAAAGAACUGGAUCCCCUAGGACUGGAGUUUUAGACAGAGAUGAGGCCCCAGCUGGGUGUCAGGAACUGAAUUCAAGGAACCUUAAAUACCAAAUGAUCUCUCUAAGACCCAAGAACACACCUCUUCAAUUUAGCAGGUAGAAUGGGUUUUUGGGUAACCUAUGUGAGUCAGCCUUGUGGAAAUUUUACCACUGUUUUGUGACAUAAAUGGAUGGGUAGCACCAUUUCAGAGCUUUGAAUGAAUUCUUGAGGCUUUGUUCACAAUAUUCCUACUCAAAGUAGACGAUAUUGCUGGAGCAGGCCAUUAGUCUGCAUCUCACAGGUGUAACAGUCAUGGGAAAGGAGUGAGAAGCCAGAAGGCAUCUGCAGACUCCAUACUUGCAGCUCAGCAGCUGGUGGUGCACUUUGUUCAUGCAUUUUGAGUUCACCUUCACUCUUGCUAUCCCAGGAUCCCAAUGGGCAAUUGUGAAAGGCUAUGGGAAAGGGUAAAUUGAGUGCAGAAGGGAGAGGUUCCUUUCCUUCUGGAAGCCCUUCAUUGUCACAUUCUCUCAAUCUGGUUGUUCAACAACCAGGUCAUGCAGACUAGAGAGGACACAUUUUUACCUUUUCUGUAUAGUCUUCCCAUCAUGCAGGAAAUGAAUGUGUUAGGUAACAAAGUGCAGAUUUUUUUAAAGCCAGUUGGUCAUAUCUGCUUUUGAGAUUUAUGAAACCAUGGGACUUUUACUCAAGUAGAAAUGAAGCAGAGGUUAAAAAAUGUUAGUGGUCUCUAAUGAUAAAAUUGAAAGGAAUACACAGAUAUUUGUGGACUAAAAUCAAGACCAUGGCAUUGACAAGUGAUAAAAUGAAUGAAAAUAUAACAUUUCCUUUUUAUGAAAAAUAAUACAUCUCAAAUUGUCCUUAAAGGCUCAAGAAGAGUACUGACUCCAGGAACCAGAGAUCACACUGGAGAACUCUGGUCACAGAAACACUUCAACUGUUGCUUCUGACUCUGUUUCAACUUCCACAUCUGUUGCUGUUGCUCCUGCUUCUGCUGUUUCUGCUUCUCAUGCUUCUGCUUCCUCUCCAGGGGCUCCAACCUCUGCUACAUCUGCUUCUGCUGCAUGUAUUUACAGCUGUUGUUACUGUUGCUGUAGCACAAGCACAUGUGGAAGACAGCAAAAAGGACCCAUCCACAGGAAGCUGUGAUGCCAAGGAAAGGAAGUAGAAGAAACAGGCUUGUAUUCACAAAUACCAUGUACUCAUAAACCCAAGUGUCCAUACAGGCCAGGGGCAACAUGGCAGGGACAUCCCAGAAGAAAUGGUUAAUGGACCUAGAAUGGCAGUAAGGAAUGUGAAGGAGAUAGACUGUGUGUGAUAAGGAGUUAAUGGAGCCCAGUGUCCAAGAUCCUAUGAUCGUCUCCAGACACAUCAUUUUGUUCAUGGGAAUAAGACAAUGAAGAGGGUGGCAGAUGGCCACGAAAUGGUCAUAGGCCAUGGAGGCCAGGAACAAGCCCUCAGAACCUGCCAUGUUCAGAAAGAAACAGGAUUGCACUCUACAGCCCAGUAAGGUAAUGCUUUUCUGGCCAGAGAGGAAGUUGAAUGCCAGCUCGGGAACAGUGGUAGAGAUAUGCAUCAGGUCCAUGAGAGAGAGCUGACUGAGCAGAAAGUACAUGGGGGUGUGGAGUUUGGGAUCCACAGGAAUGAGGUGGAUCAUUGCUGAGUUGCCAAGCAAGGCCACAGAGAAUAUGGAGAUGAUGAGCAGCAAAAGCAGUAGGCCUGUGUGAUUUUGUGGUAAUAAUCCUAACAAAAUGAAAUCACGUGAGCUCUGAAUCCAUUUCUCCAUGAAAAUGUAUUGCUUUCUCUUUCUUCACAAGUGACCUGAAAGUAAAAUGCACUUAUAUAAAGUAGAACAGGAGAAUAAAGAGGAACUGGCUUGGAAUGAAUGCUUGCACUGAAUUGUUCUUACAACCAGCACCAUCCUUCUGUUGAAUUUAUUUUGAAAUCUGAACUAAAUGUUUCUUCCCCCUUGCCUCUGGCCAAGUUCUCAGUUCAGAGAUACCUGUAUGGUCAUUUUAUUUUAUUUUUUACAAAUCUUUUUAUUUUAUAAUUAAUUUAAUUUUACAUAUCAGCCACGGAUUCCCCUGUCCUCCCUUCUCCCAACCCUCAGGAUUCCCCCAAACCAAUCCACCCCCUAUUACCACCUCCUCCAAGGCAAGGUCUCCCCUGGGGAGUCAGCCCAGCCUGGUAGAUUCAGUUGAGGCAGGUCCAGGCCCCACCUCCCUGCACCAAGGCUGAGCAAAGUGUCUCAGAUUAGGCCCCAGGUUCCAAAAAGCCAGCCCAUGCACUAAGGACAGGUCCUGGUCCCACUGCCUGGGGGCCACCUAAACAGUUCAAGCUCAUCAACUGUCUCACUUAUUCAGAGGGCCUGGUCCACUUCCAUGGGGGCUUCUCAGCUAUUGGUUCACAGUUCAUGUGUUUCCGCUAGUUGGGCUAUUUGUCCCUGUGCUUUUUCCAUCAUGGUCUUGAUAUCUCUUGCUCAUACAAUCCCUCCUCUCUCUUGCCUGUUGAACUCCUGGUGCUCCACCUGGGGCUUGGCUUUGGAUCUCUGCAUCUGCUUCCUCCAGUCACUGGAUGAGAGUUCUAUCAUGACACUUAGGGUGUUUGGCCAAAAACUCUGACAAUCUUUUAAAGCCUUCAUAAUGACAAGUUUCCAUGCAAAAGGGAAGUACCAAACUUCAUAGUUAUCAGUAUUUCCUCUUCUGUCAGUAUUUAUGAUAGUAUUAACUAUGAAUAAGUAGAACAAAAAACACCCCACAAAAAGUCAUUUAAUUGUUACUACCAUAAUAAGUAUAAAUAGUAAAUGUAGUAAAAGCUAUUGUGGAAAUGGGAAAUCUGUUGUCAAGGAGUUCCUAUUGUCACGAUAAAAAACACCGUGACAAUAAUUCAAGAUCAUUGAAGAGACUUCAUUUUCUCCAACAAGACAAUAUAUGAAGUUAUUGCUGUGUGUGGUAAGGGAGAGCUGUGUUGGUCAAGUACAGGUCUAACACAGAAUCCUGCCUAAUUUGUACAGUGUUCUGGGAAUAGUGAUAGUUAGAGCUGUGCCAAUUCAACCAGUGAGAAGGCUGACAUUUGGGAUGAACAGAGUUUAAACCUCACCCACUAUAGGCAGCCAAGAAAAUAAGGAGAUGACCCUUGCAUCUUAUACUCAAAUUAAAUCAUUCUAAACAUCA